ACGGACAUUCAACUUAUUUCCAGUUCUUCACUGUCAUAAAAAUGUGUUGAUGAACAUUUAUGUGCACUUCUGGUGCUCAUAUUCAGGUUUUUCUCUGGAGUAAUUACCCACGAAUGAAAUCAUAUGUACACUUUCUAUUUUAACAAAUAUGUCUAAAAGGCUGCCCAGAUUGACUUUACAAAUUUUCACUUCUGUCAACAGUAUCUGAAAGUAAAUGUAUUUUUUCAAGUUCUUACUAAUACUUGAUAUCAUCAAAUUUUUCACUUAAAAUUUUUUUUUUGUAUUUACAUUUUGGAUAUUAUACUUGACAAAAAAGCCUGCUUUUUAAAAUUUAACUCUUAUUUUGUAUUGGAGUAUGGUUGAUUUACAAUGUUGUAUUAGUUUAGGUGUACAGCAAAAUGAUUCAGUUAUACGUAUACAUAUAUCCGUUCUUUUUCAGAUUCUUUUCCCAUAUAGGUUAUUACAGAAUAUCUAGCAGAGUUCCCAGUGGUAUACAGUAGGUCUUGAUUAUCUAUUUUAUAUAUAGUAGUGUGGAUCUGUUAAUCCCAGAGUCCUGAUGUCUCACUGUCCCCACUUUGGUAACCCUAUAUUUGUUUUCUGUGUCUGUAAGUCUGUUUCUGUUUUGUGAGUAAGUUCAUUUGUAUCACUUCUUUAGAUCCCACAUCUAAGUGAUGUCAUAUGAUAAAUAUGUGUCUUUGUCUGGCUUACUUCACUUAGUAUGAUAAUCUGUCCAUGCUGCUGCAAAUGGCAUUAUUUCAUUCCUUUUUAGGGCUGAGUGAUAUUCCAUGGUGUAUAUGUCCCACCUCUUUUUCCAUUCUGUUGUCUAUGGAAAUUUCAGUUGUUUCCGUGUUUUGACUAUUGUAAUAGUGCUAUAUGAAUAUUGGGGUGCAUGUAUCUUUUUGAAUUAUGGUUUUCUCUGAACAUUGCCCAAGAGUGGGAUUGCUGGAUCAUAGGGUAGUUCUAUUUUCAGUUUUUAAAGGAGCCUGCAUGCUGUUUUCCACAGUGGUUGCACCAAUUUACAUUCCCACCAAUAGUGUAGGGGGUUCCCUUUUCUCCACCCCUCUCCAGCACUUACUGUUUGUAGACUUUUUGAUGGUGAGCAUUCUGGUGUGAGGUGGGUACCUCAUUGUAGUUUUGAUUUACAUUUCUCUAAUAAUUAGCAAUGUUGAGCACCUUUUCAUGUACUUUUUGGCCAACUGGACGUCCUCUUUGGAGAAAAGUCUAUUUAGACCUUUUUCCCCAUUUUUUGACUUGAUCAUUUGUUUGGACAUUGAACUCUACAAGCUGUUUGUAUAUUUUGGAGAUUAAUCCCUUGUCAGUCACUUCAUUUGCAAAUAUUUUCUCCCAUUCUGAGGGUUGUCUUUUCAUUUUGUGCCUUAUCGUAUAUAGUGCUGACAGAAGGUGUGCAAAGGGGAAAUAACCUGUCCAGGAUCACAUGGCGAGUAAGGGGUGAUGCUGACCCUUUCACCCAGCUUUGGAUCACAGAUUUCGGCUUUUUGUUUGUUUGCUUUGUUUAGUACUUCAGCUGUCUCCUUUACCUUGCCCAUUGAAAAAAUAACCCUCUCCUUUAUCCCUAUUUUAGACGUAAUACUUGACCUCAAAUAAUGAACUAAUUAAUUUAGGUCUCCACACAAAACGAAGUAGUAUUAACGAUGGCUUCUUUGUAGAGGAAAACCUUCUUGGUAUUUGAAAAUGGGCAUAUGUCAGCCUAUAACCUCAAACUGCCAGCAGAGGGCACUGCUGGCCCACAAUAUGCUUCAGAAAUAAACACUCUCAAGAGAAGGCUGACAGUUUCUGAGAAUGGUUUUCCUAGAAGACAGAGAGAGACCUUCUACUGAAGGAAUAUUAAAAUGUUGUUUGCCAUACAGAGCUGUUUUCCAGUGAGACUCAUUGGGGUUCUUUAUUCGGGUGAUUUAUCCACAAAAACAAACCACCUUCUUUCAAAAUGAAAGGGGAGUUGUACUGUUUUAAGUGGAAAUCAUCACAGAUAUUUCCUAGUAUAGGUCUCAGCAUCAAAGACUACAGUGCAAUACAAAGGGAUAGAUAGGGCCAAAUGCAAAAUUGCCUUUGAGAGGGCAGUAGAGUUGAGUGUGUCAGAAAAGAUCAGAAAACUUCUGUGGACAUUUUCCCAUUUUAUUCUUUGUUAUCAUGAUCUGCUGUUCGGUAAACAUUAGCUGAAGGCAGAUAGUUUGUGCUCUUAGAUGCACAGGGAUGUCCCUUCCUUACUGUGAUUUGAGCCCCUUUCCAGCCUGACCUGUGGCCAUCGUAUUCCUGAUUGCUCUUCCUUCCCCCAUGGCCACAUCUCCAACCCCACUCCUUCCCACUCUGCAGCCCGAGUGAACUCUCUAAGACGGAUCUGGAUCCCAUCACUUGCCUCCUGAAAACGCCCUAGUAAUUCCCCACCAUCCAUCCAUGAGAUAAAAGUCUUUGUGUGUGGCACACUAUGUUCAAAAUCAAGCCUCCACCCACUUUCCCAGCCCUAUUUUUAUGCCACUCUGCUGGCACCCUUCCUACUACUGAAUUCUAGCCACCCUGGACUUCUCGCCUUCCCACUUUGCUCCUUCUUAUCUCCAUGCUUUGCACCUACUAUUCCCUCUGCCUGAGAAGUUCUUCACCAUUUUUUCCAACCUAUCAAAUUCCUGUCAUUCUUCAAAACCCGAUUAAUGAGUCUCCUCUUCCUCGCCAAAUCUCCAGAUACCGUCACUCCUUUGCGGGCACUCUUGGCGGUGAUCUUAGGUCUACAUGGUGCUGCCAUUUCUCAUGUUAUUGACCCAUCAGUACGUCAUACAAAGAGCUCCUACAGGAAAGGGACUAUAUCUCAUUCCUCAUUUUAUCUAAGCUUAUCCAAGCCUGGUAUGUAAUAGACCCUCAAUGAACUAUUAUUGUUUGCAUUUGGAUAGAGAGGCUUUCCAUGAACUUCAGUAAUCUGGGAAUAUGCCAGGUAUAUCAUUCUAAAAAUUUUUGGAGGUCCUAAUCUAUCUUUAUUCAUAAUUUUACAAUGCACACUUGAAAUAAGAAUGUUUAUUUAUGCUCACUUUCAUUCCUUUCUUCUGGAUGAUUUUAUUUGGAAUGACGAUAGCUGAGGCUAGAAUUUGGACGAAGGCCAGCAUAGGUUUCUCAACAGAGAUGUGAUUUCAAUGAAAGUAGUUUCUAACAGGUAAGAAGGGCAACUCGCUCCAAGUACUUGACAGAAGAAAACAGAAAGAUUAAAGUGGAGAGGGAGGCAAGGAUCCUUGAGAGCUGGUUUGUCACACUGUAGGGAAGGAGAGAUGGGAGAUAAGGAGUGAGUAGGAAGAAGAGAGAGGCGUGAGUAUGGGCAUUUUUUCCUCCUCCUGCAACAUCCUAUUUCUGCUCCUAAUGGCAGGAAUUAACAUUGGUAAAAGACAAUUGCCAAGUUUCUACCAGCUACUCAUACUUUUUCAGAUGGUAAUGAGUUCUGAACGAUCAUUACAUCUUGAAAUGUAGAAAGUCACUAAAGGAAACAUUAUUCACUCUGAGAUCUAUGGAGCUUGUCACUUCACAGUGUACACUAUUGUAAUGAGUCUUGAAAUUCUUUCUGCUGGUCCUGUAUGCACACAGAGAGUUAUCACUCACAGCCCAUAUAGCCACAUGCCUGCACGUGAACACAUACACAGACACGUGUUUCACACAUCCACUCUCCCACUUAGGGGAUGUCUCCAUUUUCCUAUGGAUGGAUAAAGCAUAGAGCUCUUAGGUUGAGAUGAGCCAUCUGUCUACCAAAUGACAUUUCUAGUGCUUCAGUCCAUCUCCCAUAAUCACUUCCCCUAAACACAUGAGUGGGAAAUGAUGUAAAAAAUAAUUAAGUGUAACUCUCCAUUCCAUUAGAAAUUGAUGAUAUCUAUGUUUUAUAAAUUAGAGACAUGUAAGAGAAAACGAUUAUUCUUACAACUCAUUGUGACAGGAUGAUCUCUUCAUUGUUGCAUAAAAUUUAUCCUGAUAAGAAGAUAUUUGAAAGCUUGGUGGUUCAAGGGAAAGAAGUAAAGACUUUAAAAUGAAAGAGCUUGGAAAAAUGGAGGAGACAGAAGUCCUAGGAAGUUGAUGAGGAUGAGGAGAAAAAAGGGGUUAUGCCAGUAAAACUUGCUUCUUACCUUAGGGAAAUUAAAUGCAGUCUAGAACAGAUUAGCAUAGACCCUGACCCACAAAAACCAGGUAGACAUUUUCGGUUCUAGAACCGUUGGCUCUGGCUUAUCCAGACACAACAUUUCUCAAAUGUCCAUUAACCCACUUAUGAAAAAGCCCUUCUCAUCCUAAAGUAAGUAGAUGAAACUUUUGUUUACCACUGUACACUUGGUUCAAAACACAGCAGAGAAAGGGGAUAAUCUCUCUCAGUUGCUUGGAUGCUGCUUUGGGGGCAAAAUACUGCUUUUUCAUUUCUUCAGUGUAUUAUUCACAUACCCUCACACACACACACAUGCUUUUUUUCAGCAAACUUUAUAGUAUUCAGGGGCAUAAACUCUGAGAAAAGACCUAAUGAAAAUGUGUGGGAGGAGGUGUGUGUGGUGUGUGUACAUCUCUCCGUGUGUGUAAGUAUGUUUUCCUUGAGAGGGUUUUUUUUGUUUUUUGUUUUGAAGGGGACUAUUUUUGUUUUCUCAGUCAUGAGUAAAAUAAGUCAGAUGCACAUGAAAGAGGUAUUCUGGUAAGAAGGCAUAUUGGGAGUCAUAGCCUAUCACAGUUUCCAUUCGUUCAGAAUAUAAGACGUCCAAAAAGUCUAGUGCUUGCCUUCUCUGGAUAGAUAAGGGUUCUGGCUGAGAGCCUCAUGGAAGCAAACAGUUGGACUGGCAGCUCUCUUUAUCAUCUUGCUGUUUGGUUAUAAAAUAAAGAAAAAUGGGCUAGAGUUCAAAGGGACCAAAGAUGGAUAACACAUGUAGCAACAUGUGGCUGUGGAUAAAGCUCACUUAUUCAAGCCUGUGAAAGAAAAAACCACUAUGGGUUCCAUGAGAAUAUUCUCUAGAAUCAGUGAAAGGUAUAUUAUUCUGAAGGUGCACAGGAAUAGCAAAUCUUUGAAGAUAAGUUACUACAGGAAUCAGAAAAAAAAUUUAGGAAAUUAUUUGGAUUCUUAAUAAGAUGCCAGGAGAUACGGCCUCUGUUGAAGCAGAAGCAGAAAUCCUCAAGGAUAGGAUAAGCUAAAAUGAAAAGACAAUAUAAACAAAAUAAGGAGUUCAUGGAACCAAACUAAGAAAUUAAAGAUAAGCACAGAUUUCAGGUAAACUAAAAAUGCAGAAUUAAAUCUACUUUGGAGACAUUUACAAUCAGAAGUUGCCAGAAAAUCAAUUUAGUGAUAAAGAGAACAAACUUUAAAAUAUGUUUAAUAAUUAGAGGAAUGAAGCAAAUACUAAAAUGAGAGUGAUACUGUAUCGAGAAAAAAAUAAAUACUAGAUAUUCCACUUAACAAUACAUGAGUUUCUGAAGAAUAAUCCAGAAUCAUUGGUACUGAAUUGGUAAUCAAGAACAUAAUGGAAGAAAAUUCUGCAGGAUUCUUUUUUUUAAGGAGGUGCAAGAUAUUGGGGGGUGGGGGGAGAUGGAUAGAAUGAAUGAAAAUGACCUAUACUUAAAUAUACAUCUGAAAUUAAAGAUUUGAUUUUAUUUAUGAAGAAAAAGAAAAUAAUUUUACAAGCAUCCUUCAGAUGACCCACAAAGAAACAUAUAUCUGGCUGGCCCCAAACUUUUUUCUCUGUUUUUCUGAUACUAAGUAACAGGAUGAGAGGCAACAGCUUGAGGGAACAUAGUAAGAUACAUUCAUUCAUAUGUGAAAACAAUAGGAAAUACUCUCAGGCACGCUGGUGUUAAGUGUACCAGUUACAAAGCUGUCCCAUUAAAACAAACCAACCAAGCCUUGAAGGUAGAGCUUCAAUUGAUAAAAACAACUCAUAAAUCAAGAAUAAAGAUGACAUCAAUAAAAGCACUGGAACUUCUUUUGACAUUUGAAGUUUCUGUUUUCAGGAAUAAUUUUUAUGCUAUAUUUUAUUGUUCAAAGAUAUUAAUUGAAACAUUAUUUCUUUAAGCAAAAGUUGUAAAGAAGUGAAAUGCGUAAUAUCAUAGAACUAUCCAAAUGAUGGGUCAUUAUUCAUUCAUUAAAAUAAUAUUUAGGAAGAAUUUUAAGGAUGUGAGAAAGUAUUAUGACACGAAGUUUAAUAAAGAAAACAUGGUAGAUGUUUAUAUAGAAUAACC
rnacentral:lncRNA from 1 species